rnacentral:rRNA from 1 species
AGAUGCGUUCAUAUCUCCGGCAACGCACUGCAUCCCGUCUGAUCUGCAAAGUUAAGCCCGGA